AUGGCCGCGCAGCGCUCCGGCGCGGCGGGCGUGGCCGCCGGCGACGACGCGGACCGAGCCCGGCUGCGCCAGCUCGGCUACAAGCAGGAGCUCAAGCGCGGGCUCGGCGUGGUCUCCAACUUCGCCUUCUCCUUUUCCAUCAUCUGCGUGAUGGCCGGCGUCACCACCACGUACAACGCUGGGCUGAGGUACGGCGGACCGGCGUCCAUGACCCUCGGCUGGCUGGUCGUGGCCUUCUUCAACGGCUGCGUCGCGCUGUCCAUGGCCGAGAUCUGCUCGGCGUACCCGACCUCCGGCGGGCUCUACUACUGGAGCGCCAAGCUCGCCGGCGACAAGUGGGCGCCUCUUGCUUCCUGGAUCACCGGCUGGUUCAACCUUGUGGGCCAGUGGGCUCUCACCACGAGCACGGACUUCUCAUUGGCGCAGCUCGUCCAAGUGAUCAUCUUGCUUGGCACCGGUGGAGCCAACGGCGGUGGCUACAUGGCCUCCAAGUACGUUGUUUUGGCCAUCCACGGCUCCCUCCUCAUCCUGCACGGGCUCAUCAAUAGCCUCCCCAUCCGGUGGUUGUCCUGGUUCGGCCACCUCGGUGCAUUUUGGAACACUGCAGGUGCCUUUGUCCUGGUGAUCAUGAUUCCGGUUGUUGCCAAGGAAAGAGCGAGUGUUGAGUUCAUCUUUACACAUUUCAACACGGACAAUGACAUGGGGAUCCAUGACAAGGCCUACAUUCUAGCUGUGGGGCUUCUAACGAGCCAAUACUCAUUGCUUGGUUAUGAUGCAUCGGCUCACAUGAUUGAGGAAACGAAGAACGCAGAUUGGAGUGGACCGAUCGGGAUCAUCACGUCUGUUGCUCUCUCGACCGUGUUUGGUUGGAUCUUCCUUGUGGCUCUAACAUCCAUCAUGACGAACAUACCAUACCUACUAGACCCCCGCAAUGAUGCUGCCGGGUAUGCCGCUGCGCAAGCGCUUUACACUGCCUUCCACCAAAGGUAUGGCAGUGGGGUCGGAGGGCUCGUCUGCAUAGGCAUCGUCGCAUUCGGCAUCUUCCUCGCGGGUGUUGCAUGUGUCACCAGUAAUUCAAGGAUGGGCUAUGCCUUCUCGAGGGACAAGGCGAUGCCGUUCUCGCACGUGUGGCACCGGGUGAGCAGGAACGAGGUGCCUCUCAAUGUUGUGUGGCUCUGUGUGGUUGUCGCCUUCAUAAUGGCUCUCACGUCUCUCGGAAGCCAGGUGGCAUUCCAAGCAAUGGUGUCGAUUGCGACACUAGGGCAGUACAUCUCCUACGUGCUACCCAUCUUCUUCCGUGUGACGACGGCCCGGAGGUCAUUCAGCCCAGGGCCAUUCCACCUAGGGAGGUACAGUAUUGUCAUCGGCUGGGCAGCAGUCCUCUGGGUGGCCUUGCUCACCGUGCUCUUCUCAUUGCCUGUGGCGUACCCAAUCGCCAAGGACAACUUCAACUACACGCCGGUGGCCGUCGGUGGUGUGCUGCUGCUCAGUGCCGGCUCAUGGGUGUUCCAUGCCCGGUUCUGGUUCAAAGGACCCAUCGUAAAUGUUGACAUGUAG
rnacentral:rRNA from 1 species